rnacentral:ncRNA from 2 species
GCCGCGCAAACGGGAGAGCGCGGCCCGGCUUCCACGGGCUGCCGCCGAAGGCGCAAUCCACCAUUCGCUAGCCCCGAAAUCGCUCAGGCAAAAAGGACCGUUUGCGGCAG